UUUAAAAAAUAAAAUCUAACCUGUAGUCAUUUCAAGAAAUGUAGGAUUCAGAGAAGCAUCCAAUCCAUCUGUAUUUAAUACAGUGUGGUAGGGCUUGUUUAAUUGCUGUAUCCUGUAUUCCAAUCUUGAAAGAACAGUCUCUUAAUAUGAUAUCAUAGGCAAUCUGUUUCACACCUGUGGUUUUCUUUUUACAUAAAGAAAAGCUUUUUUUUUUUUUUUUUUUUUUUUUCCCCUGCACUUAAGAUCAAAUCCCUCUGAUUUUGUUCACGUUGCUUCCGAUGUCAGUAAAUGGAGCUGAAAACAGCAUUUUCCACCAAUUGUUUUCAAUGCUGUUUGCAACCCUAUUUAAAUUGAUAGGUCCCCUUGGCCUUUCUGUCUCAUAACCACCUAUGUGGUCUUUUAUGUUCUCCCUUUUUUUCUCCUGAUUUUUAUGUAGUAGAAUUAUUUAAGUACUCUUUGGAUCGUGUUAUCCCAUUUCUUCCUGUUGGCAUCUCUGCCUUUCUUUGUUAGGUUUUACCGUGCAAAGUCCAGUUCAAGUUAACUUACAAUUUUGUCUAAAUCAAUGUUGUUUUUUUUGGCAUUCCUUCUUUGUGUUACUUCUACUAAAAAUCUCAGACUUCCCUUAGUGGUGUGUUUAACACAGGUUAGGUGUAACAGGCAAAGCCUUGACAAGCAGAUGGAAAGGCUGGGGAUUUUGACACAUUGAUGGCAGCAAGUGGGUAAACAUUCUUAAGUGAUGAGCAAGUGUCUUAAUUAUGCAUUUAAAAAGAAAUAAACAGAAAAACAACAUUGCAGCUACUGUUGGACCAGUGCAUUUUAAAUUUACCUCACUUAUUAGGCAUCAGUUUUUAGUACAUUCCCCUUUUUUGUAAGUGCAUGUUCUGACUGAACAACAGUUGAGUAGUUACUUUUGAGGUAAACUCAUGCAGCUUCAAAUUAUUUGACGUUCUAAUCAGACUUGUGAUGUUGCUUCAUGUUUUUUUUUUUUGAAUUUGGUGGUUAGUUCCCACUAUCAGCGUACUCCAAAAACACCUGUUUAGUUUAUGUCUGGAGGACUUCACUAGGAACAUUUUAAUGGGAAAGCUCACACUUUUCUGGGAUACGUUUGGUUCUGUUUUUGCAACAAGAAAAAACAUGCUGCCCAGCAAAUUUGUUUUAUGCCCAGAUCUAAAAACAGAAAUCUGUGGAAACUGUGGACUAACGAUGAACAAAAUCAUUCAUUUUUUUUAUCUUUCAAGUUUACACUUUUUCUACCCUAGGGGGACUGCCAGUUGUUCUAUUCCUAGACACUGUUACACUCGCGUGAUUUCUGCAUGGCAUGAUGUAGUAAUUGCAAUGCAGUAUUAAACUAGAGAGCCAUUUUGUCUGAUGGCUUCAGACUGCAAACACUCAUGAGAUGCUGUGCAAACUAUUUCAGAUCCAGUGGCUAGUAGCAGGUACUUGAAAGGAAGGUGCCAGAAAACAAACAGUAUAAAACUGUGGGACAGUUUCUCUGUGAGGAAGUGUUUUUUUGGCUCCUGUGAGCUGAUUAUGUUAUGAAGGAUGAGAAUUUUUCUUAAAAUUACUGUUCAUUUUUAAAUGUCUCCUGUACAUUUAUUUUUAAUAUCAUUAAAUGUAAAUACUGUUAUAAAUAAAUGCUUUCUGUCAAUGAAAAGCAAGUGUGUUGCUGCUUUUGAAGUAGGCUGGCUAAUUUUUGAACAGAAAACAUCCUGUCCUAGCUACUUUACAGAUACAGUACCCAGAAAAAAAUAAAUACUAUCCUAUCUUUUUAAUUUUAAAGAAGCCCUAUUGAUUCUCUGAUGAGUAACUGGAAAGGAAUUGCAAGAAAUGUCAUGGGAAUUUUCCCAGACAAGUGUGCCUAAGCGUGAAGUAAAAUCCAAUCUGCUUUUUCAUAAAUAUUUUAACUCUAACGCUGUUGAAAAACCUGUCUUUGUCCACACUAACAUAUUUAUUGAAUAAGGUGUCAGACAGUUGUCAUUUGGUGCAUCUUUCCCUUUUAUACUCUGUCCUAUUUCUCCUAUAAUUUCUUUUAAGCUAGCGCUGAGCUUCCUGGCUGCUUCCUAUUUAAAACUGAUGAUGACUUCUCUAUUAGUAAUAAUGACUGUUGCACUCCACUAAGCAUUGUGCUGCAUUUCAAAGCAUCAUCACGUAGGUGAACUCUGUGACAGAGAUCCACUUAAUGUUAUGCAUGAUUUUUUUGACUAAGUGCAUAAAAAUAGUGGUAAGCUGAAAAUCUGAACACCAAUUAAAAUUAAUGAAAAUGUUAUAUUUUUGCAUACUAAAACAACUUGCUGAUAAUAACUGUGAUAAAUCUGCAUAAAACUUAACUAUGUCUUAUGAUUAGAAAUUGUAAAACACGCAUACUUCAUGGGCUGUCAUGUAGUCCUCACUGCUACGAGAAUGUUAAACAGCUCUUUGUGUGUUACAGAUGCUCUUCCCGUUACUUCCAGAGAUACUGCCCAACCUGUUCUCAAGCUUAUUUUGUCUCCAUGUGUUUUGCAACAUACACAGGAAGUGACCUGAUUGAGUGUAGAUGUGGUAAUGCUCAAAAAUAAAUUCAGAAAAUU